rnacentral:rRNA from 1 species
GAUGAACGCUGGCGGCGUGCUUAACACAUGCAAGUCGAACGAAGCAUUUAGGACAGAUUACUUCGGUUUGAAGUUCUUUAUGACUGAGUGGCGGACGGGUGAGUAACGCGUGGGUAACCUGCCUUGUACUGGGGGAUAGCAGCUGGAAACGGCUGGUAAUACCGCAUAAGCGCACAAUGUUGCAUGACAUGGUGUGAAAAACUCCGGUGGUAUAAGAUGGACCCGCGUCUGAUUAGCUAGUUGGUGAGAUAACAGCCCACCAAGGCGACGAUCAGUAGCCGACCUGAGAGGGUGACCGGCCACAUUGGGACUGAGACACGGCCCAGACUCCUACGGGAGGCAGCAGUGGGGAAUAUUGCACAAUGGAGGAAACUCUGAUGCAGCGACGCCGCGUGAGUGAAGAAGUAAUUCGUUAUGUAAAGCUCUAUCAGCAGGGAAGAUAGUGACGGUACCUGACUAAGAAGCUCCGGUUAAAUACGUG